rnacentral:rRNA from 1 species
GUAGGGAAUAUUGGACAAUGGGUGCGAGCCUGAUCCAGCCAUGCCGCGUGCAGGAAGACGGCCUUCUGGGUUGUAAACUGCUUUUGCCAGGGGAUAAAAAGUCCCUGCGGGGAAAAUUGAAGGUACCUGGUGAAUAAGCCACGGCUAACUACGUGCCAGCAGCCGCGGUAAUACGUAGGUGGCAAGCGUUGUCCGGAUUUAUUGGGUUUAAAGGGUGCGUAGGCGGUCCAUUAAGUCAGUGGUGAAAUACGGCAGCUUAACUGUCGAGGUGCCAUUGAUACUGGAGGACUUGAGUACAGACGAGGUAGGCGGAAUUGACGGUGUAGCGGUGAAAUGCUUAGAUAUCGUCAAGAACACCGAUAGCGAAGGCAGCUUACUAGACUGUAACUGACGCUGAGGCACGAAAGUGUGGGGAUCAAACAGGAUUAGAAACCCUAGUAGUCC